rnacentral:lncRNA from 1 species
UUGUUUCACCGGCAACCUCAAAGCAUGUCUCAAGUCCAUCGUGAGAGUUAACUCGAUCAUAUUAAUAAUAGAUGGCAUAUAUUAAGUGAGAAUAAUAUUGCUUAUGUAGAUGGCAUGCUAAUAAUGAUGAUCUGAAAGUUCUAUCAACCACUAAUGACAUUUAUAGGCUUAUGAUAAAGUUCUAAAUCGUAUCAACUGAGACGUUGAUAGUCCAUAUUAAGGUUAUGGAUCUAACAUAAGUUUCACCCGAAAAAAUACAUAUAUAGAUGGAUAGCCGACAAAUCUCUUUCCGAGACGUUUGAAGACUGUGGGGCUCUAUAGUAUCUUGGUUGGUAACUAGAAUGGAUUCUCUCACAACUUAUUGUCAAAUCACUGUCCGCUAUAUAUAUAUAUAUAUAUAUAUAUAUAUAAGGUUUUUCUUUGUCCUUAUUUAAAUAUGUUUUCAGUUAUUAUUAUGUUGAUGCUUUAGGUUUCGGACUAUUUUAGAUGAUAUCAUCUGUGUUCCCCAAUGAUCGCGGCGGGGCGCGUGCGGAAAGGCCCGCACGUGCCGGGAGUCUCGCCGUUGAGUCCGGGAGGAGGGCAGUCAAAGAUGUAGUGGAGGUGCCCACACGUGUUGGUCAACCGAAUACCAAGCUAUAUGGCAUCCACGAAACAGAAAAGCUUACUGCAUUCCAGUUCUUCUGCAGCUUCUUCCUCCUGAGCUCUCCUUUUUCUGGGCUUUGCCAAGUCACUAUGACCAGUUAUGUUAAUGCCAGCCAGCAAUGGCCUUCACCAAGUCGAGAUAUCUCAUCUUCUACCUGCUUCAUCUUGGUCUUCUGUUCAGCUUUGCUUCCUUCUGCAGUAGAGCUUGGUGAUCUCUUUCCUUUAAAUACACAAGUUAACAUUUAACAUCUCAUAAGAAUAUGAUCAUAUAUACCAAAAACUUGAAUUGGAGAAGAAGAAAUGAAAAAAAGCAGAUGAAGAUAAAAGGAAAGAACAAUAUUAUGCUGUUAGGCAAUUGAAUAUAGGAUGCAAUUAAUCAGCAAUAUCAGAUCAUGAUAUAAGAAAUUAUGCAAAGGGUAGAAUACCACAUUUAAAAUCCCUCGAGUGUGAUCAAUCUUCAGCACUAGAGUUCACCAAGUUACAUGAAACCAUAAACAUUGGGAAAAAAGAAGUUCAUUGAUCGAUUUUGUAGCAAUUUGUAAGGUGAGCAGACAUCUAAAGUAGCACUCUUACCAUUCUACAAUUCGAUCUAAAGAGCACAGAUCAUCAACAUAAAGUCCAACAAAAAUAAUGAAAACCAAUGCUUUGUAGGCUCAACUUACUUCCAGUCGCGGCAAAGUUGUACAUGGUGGAAGUGUCAUCAAAAUUGUUUCUACAUAUGUAUACUGAUUACAUUAUUCACUAAGCAGAUGUUACAGGAAUCUAAAACGUUGAUUACAAGGACAAACCUCGGAAAGAGUAUGCUUACAAGUAUACUGGUAAAAAAACAUCUCAAAAUCUAACUCAGUGAUGAAAUACAGCCUUCUGCAGUCACAUCAUUUUAAAGGCACUUUAACAAGACAAGAUACCAAUGAUGACAAAUGAAAGUGAACAUUCAAAAUGGUGAAUGUUAAUUCGUUCAUCAUGUUAGGAGUAAAAUCGAGGAUGUUGCCAUCCAAAAUGAUCCUUCUCUAUCACACUGUCAUGAUCUAUCUCGCUGUGCACAAGAUAAUUCUUAUUUUUAGCACAUAUCAUAAUACAUCAAGGCCCAAUCCCAGUGUAGGUCUAACCCAAGGAAACCCUGAUCUAUGUUUUGACUCGAUUGAAACAUAUCUACUAUGCAAGUUAGCUAGUUCUAUAAGCUUUAAACUUCAUGGUUGUUUUAAGAGGUGGAUUAGCAUUCACCUAGGUGAAAUCUCAUUCGUUCAAUUAGAAUAUUUGCCUUUAUUAUCUUGAGUAGCGAUUCAAUUUUAAUAUCCAUAUUUAGGCAAGUUCAGCAUUGAUGUUAAUAAUAGUGAACAAGACAUGCAACCUAAAUGAAUAGUCCAAAGCAUAGAAACAAAAAACAAUUAUCUCUUGUCAAGAACCAGUUCAGUUUUCCGAUAGUACUGUACUUAUGUGAAGUGUUCCUAUCAAUCGAAGCUUUGUUUUCUUUCCUAUCAAAGAAAGGAUUUUAGUAAUAAAAAACAGAGGAUGAUAUCUGUUCUGUUAUACUACUGCAUCAAGGAAUUUAUGAUCAACCAUAUUCUACUGCUAUAGCCCUCAAAAUCAUGUAGAACAAAACCUAUUGUAAUGUCAAUGCAGCUUCAAAAGGAAGACAUGCUGCAUUGUUCUGCCAAACUUUAUAAAAGGUUACAAUUAAUUCAGGAAAAUAAUUCCUUCCUUUUUGAUAAAUAUGAUGAGAAAAUAGUUAGAUCAUUACAAAAAAUCAAAAGAGAUUCAAUUAACUUGACCUUCUUAAACCAUAUCCAUCUUCUCAACAAACAAUUCAAUAUCACAUUAUUAUCAUUUUUAUGCCAUUUGCAUGGCUAACAAAAAGUUUUUAUUAUAGUUUCCAAAUUUUUUCUACCAGUUAAGAUAUACCAGAACCAAAAAUAUUUCUCAAACAUUCAACUAUCAAUCUAGUUUACCAUUGAUUACUGCAUGGAAAAGAAAAAUAUAACUCAAUUUCUGGUCUGACCUAACCUAUUGUAUUUGGAAAGGAAUCACAAGCAUCUAGCUAUAGAAUCAGUAUCUGAACAAGACAACAAUGGCCAGUAAGUAGCUCACACUUAUCUAAAAGGUCAUCUUGGAACUAAAGUCUACCUGCUGGCUAAGCAGUUUAACCCUUUUUGGCUACCAAGCUUAGAGUCAAAAGGAUAAAACUGGUGGCAUAUUGGUAAGGCUACCAAUAUGCCUACACAACCAUCAACCAUAAUCCUUCUUUCAAACGUAAAGGUCCAGUGUGCAUCAACAGAUGGAAUUAGUACUGUCCUAUGCUGAAAUGUACUAUAAGUCUGUAAGUUCUUCGCACAAAAGUACCGCACCCAGCAUUUAAAGAGACAAUAUAACUCUUCCAAUCAAACGAGCCAAAUCGAUUAACGGAUAGAACGACAGAUGAUCUCAUUUUUCAUCCAAUCAACAGACGAUAGCAUAUACCACUUCAAGUAGUGCUACUUCUCGACCCCAAAUCACAACCGAUGGCCGUGAACUGAGCUCUUUCAAGCAAACCAAAACCACAUAACGAUUUACCAGAUAAAAGAAGAAGGCAAAAGAGAAUAAAAAUCAGCCUUCGGAAGAUGAAGGUAUGCUACAACCGGAAUGCGUCGGGAGAAUCUCUUCGAAAGCUUCAGCGCUUCCCCCGGCUUCUCCGGCCGUCUCCGUCUCCCACAGGGGAUCUAAAGAGAAGACGGCGCGCUCUCAAAAGCCC